rnacentral:rRNA from 1 species
CCUACGGGGCGCACCAGUGGGGAAUAUUGCACAAUGGGCGCAAGCCUGAUGCAGCCAUGCCGCGUGUAUGAAGGAGGCCUUCGGGUUGUAAAGUACUUUCAGCGAGGAGGAAGGCGUUAAGGUUAAUAACCUUAGCGAUUGACAUUACUCGCAGAAGAAGCACCGGCUAACUCCGUGCCAGCAGCGGCGGUAAUACGGAGGGUGCAAGCGUUAAUCGGAAUUACUGGGCGUAAAGCGCACGCAGGCGGUUUGUUAAGUCGGAUGUGAAAUCCCCGGGCUCAACCUGGGAACUGCAUUCGAAACUGGCAAGCUUGAGUCUUGUAGAGGGGGGUAGAAUUCCAGGUGUAGCGGUGAAAUGCGUAGAGAUCUGGAGGAAUACCGGUGGCGAAGGCGGCCCCCUGGACAAAGACUGACGCUCAGGUGCGAAAGCGUGGGGAGCAAACAGGAUUAGAUACCCUUGUAGUC